AUUCCCCUAGUAACGGCGAGUGAAGCGGGAAGAGCUCAAAUUUAAAAUCUGGCGGUCUUUGGCUGUCCGAGUUGUAUUCUAGAGAAGUGUUUUCCGCGCUGGACCGUGUACAAGUCUCUUGGAACAGAGCGUCAUAGAGGGUGAGAAUCCCGUCUUUGACACGGACUACCAGUGCUUUGUGAUGCGCUCUCAAAGAGUCGAGUUGUUUGGGAAUGCAGCUCAAAAUGGGUGGUAAAUUCCAUCUAAAGCUAAAUAUUGGCGAGAGACCGAUAGCGAACAAGUACCGUGAGGGAAAGAUGAAAAGCACUUUGGAAAGAGAGUUAAACAGUACGUGAAAUUGCUGAAAGGGAAACGCUUGAAGUCAGUCGCGUUAGCUAGAACUCAGCCUUGCUUUUGCCUGGUGCAUUUUCUAGUUGACGGGCCAGCAUCAGUUUUGAUUGCAGGAUAAAGGUCAGAGGAAUGUGGCACCUUCGGGUGUGUUAUAGCCUUUGAUUGUAUACUGUGGUUGGGACUGAGGAUCACAGCACGCCUUUAUGGCCGGGGUUCGCCCACGUUCGUGCUUAGGAUGCUGGCGUAAUGGCUUUAAACGACCCGUCUUGAAACACGGACCAAGGAGUCUAACAUACCUGCGAGUAUUUGGGUGGUAAACCCGAGUGCGUAAUGAAAGUGAAAGUUGGGAUCCCUGUCGUGGGGAGCACCGACGCCCGGACCAGACCUUCUGUGACGGCUCCGCGGUAGAGCAUGUAUGCUGGGACCCGAAAGAUGGUGAACUAUGCCUGAAUAGGGUGAAGCCAGAGGAAACUCUGGUGGAGGCUCGUAGCGAUUCUGACGUGCAAAUCGAUCGUCAAAUUUGGGUAUAGGGGCGAAAGACUAAUCGAACCAUCUAGUAGCUGGUUCC
rnacentral:rRNA from 1 species